GAUGAAGAACGCAGCGAAAUGCGAUAAGUAAUGUGAAUUGCAGAAUCCAGUGAAUCAUCGAAUCUUUGAACGCACAUUGCGCCCGCCAGCAUUCUGGCGGGCAUGCCUGUUCGAGCGUCAUUUCAACCCUCGACCUCCCUUUGGGGAAGUCGGCGGUGGGGACCGGCAGCACACCGCCGGCCCUGAAAUGGAGUGGCGGCCCGUCCGCGGCGACCUCUGCGUAGUAAUCCAACUCGCACCGGAACCCCGACGCGGCCACGCCGUAAAACACCCAACUUCUGAACGUUGACCUCGAAUCAGGUAGGACUACCCGCUGAACUUAAGCAUAUCAAUAAGCGGAGGA
rnacentral:misc_RNA from 1 species